GCCUCUAUGGCGUAGUGGUAACGCGUUGCACUUGUACUAAGCCCUGCUGAGCGGUACAGGAUUAUGCAAAGAUCUCUAGUUCAAUCCUGGAUGGAGGCA